UACGGAGGGUGCAAACGUUGCUCGGAAUCAUUGGGGCGUAAAGCGCACGUAGGUGGCUUGUUAAGUCGGGUGUGAAAUCCCUGGGCUCAACCCAGGAAGUGCACUCGAAACUGGCAGGCUAGAGUACUGGAGAGGUUGGUGGAAUUCUCGGUGUAGAGGUGAAAUUCGUAGAUAUCGAGAGGAACACCGGUGGCGAAGGCGGCCAACUGGACAGAUACUGACGCUGAGACUCGAAAGCGUGGGGAGCAAACAGG
rnacentral:rRNA from 1 species